rnacentral:rRNA from 1 species
UACAGAGGUGGCAAGCGUUGUUCGGAAUUACUGGGCGUAAAGAGCUCGUAGGCGGCUUGUCACGUCGGAUGUGAAAGCCCGGGGCUUAACCCCGGGUCUGCAUUCGAUACGGGCAGGCUAGAGUGUGGUAGGGGAGAUCGGAAUUCCUGGUGUAGCGGUGAAAUGCGCAGAUAUCAGGAGGAACACCGGUGGCGAAGGCGGAUCUCUGGGCCAUUACUGACGCUGAGGAGCGAAAGCGUGGGGAGCGAACAGG